rnacentral:sRNA from 1 species
GAUAUUGUAACAAUGCAGUACAUUUUCCUCAUCUUGUAUUAUGAAAAUAUUUGCAAAUUUAUUGUACAUUGUAUAUAUAGUUGUCUUUCUUCUUAAUUUUGUGUCUGAUUUCAUUUGUAUAUGUUUUUUAAUUUAUAUUUUUUGGCAAUCCGGAUAAAAUAAGCUUCAAGGACAGUGUGAAACUUGACAGUUUCCUGCCCCUUGUUACAAAUAAGAUAAAUUCCCUUCAUUUUUGGAACUCUUCAAUAUUUUUCAGUCUCAACUGGAAGAGGAUUAUUUGUUGUUAUCAAACAAUUCUGAGAUCGAGGAUUAUUUGUUGUUAUCAAAUAAUUCGUCUAAAUAAUCAGCUGAAUGUUAAAUAUGAAAAGAUUUAUAGAGGUAAUAAACGAACUUAAAGUUCUACAUAUUAUGUGUUAUAACCAUAUGAAACAUUUAAUAUCAUAUCUUUUAUAAUUGAGUUGAAUCUUUUAUUAACAUUUUUUGUAACAACAUUACGUUAAUAAAUGAUAUCCAUGC